rnacentral:tRNA from 1 species
GGGGGUAUAGUUCAGUGAUAGAGCGCGUGCUUAGCAUGCAUGAGGCCCUGGGUUCGAUCUCCAGCACCUCCA